GUCCGCGUAGUUCAGGGGUUAGAACAUCAGACUUUCAAUCUGGAGACGUGGGUUCGAGUCCCACCGUGGAUACCA
rnacentral:tRNA from 1 species